GUACUCCACGUCCACCUACUCCUCUGCCAUCUUGUUCUACACCACAAAUCAGAUAAUACAAGAAGACCCAAUGCACUCUCCCUGGAUGAGCAACACAUUACGUGUAUCUUGUGCAAUUAGUGGUACGUCAAGGGACCGAAGUUAUGGUUCCCCAAGAUACACUGCUGAAAUAUGAGGACAUGCAGAUGUCAAGUGACAACAAGACUGAACUUCUCAGGAAUAUUUGGAGCUGUGCAAAUGUUUAAAAUUUAAAGAUUUGUUAUACACGGAGUGUUUCCUCCUGACACCCAAAACUUUCAUGCUUUCAUACAGGGUGCUUACAUAUUUGUAAAUAUUUAAGCAACUUGAACGUGCCUGGAAAAUUGCACCACUGUGCUUAGUUUGUACUUUUUAAGGUAGAUCUACAUACCGAGGAAUAGAGCUCAAAAACUUUCAUUUGAUUUGCUUAAUUGUUACUUAAAAUAUUAAUGGCACUGUGUAAAAUUGUAUAAUGGCACUCAAUAAAAGUAAAACUUCUUUGUAAUUAGAAGUGAAGGAAAUAAUACUUUGAACUUAGCAUUUUUCUUGACAGGAAGCUAAAUUCAUUAUUAUACUAGUCCUUGGAGGAAAAAAAAUGAAAAAUUUUUCAUGAAACAUGGAUACUUCCAACUGAGAUCAUUUGAAACCUUGCCUACCAAUUGUCUAGACUGAGCUAAAGGAAACAAAAGCAUUAUGUAAACAAGGAAAUUUUCACAAAAAAAGGACAAAUAUAUAGAAAUACCAGGCUUCCCAAUCCUUCAAGUUUUGAUCCAAUUAUGCUAGGUAUUCCAGUCAGUGGUCUCUCUAACAUACUAGGCAAGGGAUUCCUUUCUGGCCUUUGUUUGCCUAGCAAGCAGCAUUUGUUGCCAAAGCUUCAUGGCUUUGGCAUGAAGUUGAGGCUGUCCAUAAAGCUAAACAAACAUCUCUGAGAUUUGCAGUUACUUCAAAGUUUUAGCAGCAGAAUCUGAGGGUAGGUAUUUUGUAAUGAUGAUUUCUUCAGUUUACAAGGUUAGUAAGUAUUUUGAUAGAACUUGAUGAUCACAGCAUUCCUUGGGUCAGUAUACAACACGUUUUUAGCAGUUUCUGGCUAAGGAUUACAUCUCUGACUAUGAAGAAACUUCAGAUUAACUAAAUAAUUCAGGAGAAACCAAGAUGUGAAGGACAUGUUUACCUUGAACUAUCCAUAAAAUUUUGGCUGCCUUUCUUGUAAACAUUAAGUCCUAGAUUUAUUGUUCAUAUGUAGUUUAGCCUAUUUCAUCAACAAAAAAGGAAAAAAACAGACACUGAAAUAUAAGUGGAUUGCAUGGAGCUUUGGCUUUUUUAAUACUCUGUGAUUAAGUAAAUCUUAGAGCUUAUUAUUCA